UAGUUUAUUAUAUAAUACUUGAUAAGAAAUUCGAUACUGCAAUCCAAAUCUCAAAGCCCUCAAAAUUCUCAUUCUCUCACCUAGAAAGAAAUAAAUGAGCUGAAAGAUCCCUCUCUCAGAUUCAAAUACACACGGAACCCAACUUUUCAAGAGCCCAAGUUCCGUUUAUUUUCAUUACCAACACAAACUAGAAAACACAAGCAUAAAACCUUGCAAUAAUUUUCUCUCUUCAACCCAUCAAGGAAUUGAUCAAAGCUUAGAGUCCUUUCUCUUUAGCUCUCCCUCUUCCCCGUUCAACAGGCUUUUUUUUUCUCUUUGUUUGUGUUUUUUUUUUUAUUCAAGUUCUGUGGGUUUGAUUUGGUUUUCUAUGAAGUGAAUCACUUGAAGCUGAUGCAGGGAGAGAGGGUGAGAGAGAUAUAGUCUUGCUGCUGCAGCUGGUGGACUGGGUUGACUCAGUGGAAUCGUUGCUGAUAGGCGAGAAUUGAAGUUUUUGUUUAUAUGAUUGCCGUUGAGAUAUUGUAAAAUUUUAAGAAAGGAUUGGUCUGCUGAAGCUAAUGGAGUAGUUGAGCUAGAGAAAGUUUGGGCUUUGAAGAUUCGAAUUGAUUAGUGCUUGCUUUCAAAUUGUGUUAUUGGAAUGGGUUGCGAGUGUUCAAAGCUCACCAAGUGUUGUUGGAGUUCUGACUAUAAUGGAUCGGUUCCCGAAGACCACAAUGAGGAUAAGGAAGAGAGGAGUGAACUCGAUGAUUUGCCUGCAUUCCGUGAAUACAGCAUUGAAACCCUCAGGAUGGCGACUUCUGGGUUUUCUGUGGAAAAUAUAGUUUCUGAACAUGGGGAAAAGGCUCCAAAUGUGGUUUAUAAGGGGAAGCUUGAGAAUCAGAGGAGGGUUGCUGUGAAACGGUUUAAUAGAUCAGCUUGGCCUGAUGCCAGGCAGUUUUUGGAAGAAGCAAGAACUGUUGGUCAGCUGAGGAACCAUAGGUUGGCAAAUUUGCUCGGCUGUUGUUGUGAAGGGGAUGAGAGGUUACUCAUUUCUGAAUUUAUGCCCAAUGAUACAUUGGCCAAACACCUAUUCCAUUGGGAAACACAGCCAAUGAAAUGGGCAAUGCGACUUAGGGUGGCUCUACAUCUUGCGCAAGCUCUAGAAUAUUGUGCCAGCAAGGGACGUACUCUGUAUCAUGAUCUGAAUGCUUAUAGAGUUGUCUUUGAUGAUGAGGGCAACCCUAGACUUUCAUGCUUUGGUCUGAUGAAGAACAGUAUAGAUGGAAAAAGUUACAGUACAAACUUGGCAUUUACACCUCCUGAGUAUCUGAGGACAGGAAGGGUAACAGCAGAAAGUGUAAUUUAUAGCUUUGGCACCCUUUUGCUGGACCUUCUCAGUGGGAAACAUAUUCCUCCCAGCCAUGCACUGGACUUGAUAAGGGACAGAAAUAUUCAAAUGCUGUCAGAUUCUUGCUUGGAAGGCCAAUUUGCAAAUGAUGAUGGAACUGAGUUGGUGCGAUUAGCUUCACGCUGUUUACAAUAUGAGCCCCGGGAGCGACCAAAUCCUAAGUCUUUAGUUGCUGCUUUGAUUCCUCUGCAGAAGGAUACUGAGGUUCCUUCUCAUGAAUUGAUGGGGAUACAAGAUGGUGGUGCAGCGUUACCGCUGUCACCACUUGGUGAGGCUUGUUUAAGAAUGGAUUUGACUGCCAUACAUGAGAUUUUAGAAAAGCUUGGGUAUAAAGAUGAUGAGGGUGCAGCAACUGAGCUCUCGUUCCAGAUGUGGACCAACCAAAUGCAGGAAACGUUAAAUUCAAAGAAGAAGGGAGAUGUUGCUUUCCGGCACAAAGAUUUUAGAGCUGCCAUUGAAUUCUAUUCCCAGUUCAUUGAUAUUGGAACCAUGGUUUCCCCAACCGUUCAUGCACGCCGAAGUUUAUCCUACCUCUUGAGUGACAUGCCCCAGGAGGCCCUAAAUGAUGCACUGCAAGCCCAGGCAAUAUCCCCUAUUUGGCAUAUUGCAUCUUAUUUACAAGCAGCAGCUCUUUUAACAAUGGGAAAGGAGAAUGAGGCAAAAGCAGCUCUAAAAGAGGCAUCAACUCUUGAAAAUAAAAGGAACACAAAUGCAUGAUAGCAGAAGGACAAAGGUCAAAAUAAAUCUCUUCUUGGAUUGCUCAUUUCCUUGAGAUGACUACCAAUGGUGAACACGAGCUUAAUUUCAACUCAGGAUGAUCCAAGGUUUUCCUGAGUUGACCUCGCAGCAAAAAACUGGCUGUGAAUGGCUCUGAUCUACUGCAUGCAUUGAUUGGUUGUCAUCUUGAAGAAUUCUUUCGAAACAUUUUUGAUGGGUUAGGUUGGGUCAGUUACUGGGUGUUGCCAUAUUGAUCACUCACGCGCAUAUGAACAAUACCCUUGUUACUGUUUGCUGACCUUUUCCGAUACAAAAGUCUGGUGGAAUAAUUAAGACAUUCUUGUUACAGAUUACAUGUUUGUAGAUGGAAUCACCUGUUGUUUCAAAUUGCUUUUAGAGGGUGAAAAUAAAAUGUUGUAAUCCUUGUAAUUUAUGUACAGUGCUAUUGGUUGUGGCUGCACAAGCAGAGGUGGAAUUGGUGUUUUUGUAUGCUGAGUUUUUUAAUCAAAUAUUUUUGGCUUUUCAA